UUUUUUUUAAUAAUUUUGUGCUAGCUAGCUUGUUUCCCUGGUACAUAGAAAUUGACAGAAGAGAGUGAGCACACAGAGGCAUAUGGUAUAAGUCUGUGCUAUUGCUUUUGCGUGCUCACUUCUCUUUCUGUCAGAUUCCAUUGCCGGAGGAGGCCUGCCAUUGUUCCAGAUCCUCUCUCUCUCUCUCUCCUUCCUUCAUCUUCAACAGCUGCUGAUCAACAAGAUCAUUAUAGAGUAGCCUAUUGUUUAAAUUUUUGACAAAUAUAUAUAUAUGUUAUAGUGGUGAGAUUGUUUGAAAGCGUGACUUUUGAUGAGAAGCUGCGCCCGAUUACUGUGCGGAUUAAGCGGAAAAUCUUGUUUAUAUAUAUAUAUCAUGGGACCAUUCCCGUUAUGUAGGAGUAUAUAGCUAGUAUGGUCCUCACCAACCCUCCUUUCUUCUUCUUUGUUUCUCCAUUUCGUUUUUAUAAUAUUCCUGCGCAUGCGUUUUUCACUCGAUAAUUGGUUCUGAUCUGACUUUGUUUUCACCUGAAUCUGCUUCCUCCUUCUUAUCUCCUUUCUGAUACAUUAUUAUUUUUCGUGUGUGUUUGAAACCCUAUUUGUGUUUUUUGUACGACUGCAAAAGGGUUUUCUAGCGAGGUCUGAAUCUACUCUAAAUCUACCUGCGCUAUAUAUAGUACUAUUAAUGGAUCUUCACAGAAAACUAAAAUCUAAUUUAACUAUUAUAUAUUUCUUUUCAUCAUAUACUUUCUGAGCAUUUUUCAUCUUGAUUUGAUGCCACGUAUUUACAAAUUCUUUGUGUUAUUAGGUUACGGUGAUGAGAAUCCGUCAACUCAGAUAUCAAGAAACUUGUCAACCAGGUUUUGGGCAUCGUGCUUCCAAUAAAACUUUUACCUUCAUUUCUUCAUUUUAUUUUCACUUUAUAAUUCUAAGUUCAUAAGAAAUCUUGUAUCAGAAACUUUGAGCACCCUAAUUAAUUUUUGUUUGAUGUGCGGAUUGAUCUAUUAAUAUAUGUUGCAAAACAAGUUCUUUUUUCCUUUUUCUUUUUCAAUAGGGUGAUUGUUUAUGAAUUACAGGAGUUACACGAGUCAUGGACUGAUAUACUUUUGUUGCGUGUGUCUGAGCUGCAACUGGAUAAGUUUGAGCUGACUCUUUCCGUAGCUUUGAAAUAAUAUUGGCAUCUAUUUGCUGUCUUUAUCGUAAUCAGCAAUAUUUUUAUGUUUGGGGUUAUACUAUUAUUUUAUGCCGACUUACAACUAAUUAUGUUAUUAUAUGUUCGCAUGAUGAUUUAAUUUCAGAGGUUUAAUGUUCCUGCCAGAUGUUUUGGGUUGCCAAAAUGGAAUGUUCCACUAAUCCUAUGUUGGGCAAGUGAUCCUGAUCGAUGCAUAUAUAAGCUGCUGAUGAUAAUCAAUUGAUUAAAAGAAGAAUCUUCAUUGGCAUUACUUUCAGUAUAUGUUGCUUGGUGAAAUGUGGCUUCCUUGGCGAAAAUGAAAAUUUUCUUGUGGAAUGCAGCCAGCUUCUUUUAAGGCAUGAUAGCUGUUUCAACAGUAUCCUGGAAUUCAUCCACUUGCACAUCUCAGUGUCCACUCUUGAAUUGGAUGUGGGAUAUGAUCAGGUUUGUGCUUGCUGGCGUUGGAUACUUUGGUGGUGAUUGCUAGCUUAUUGUGCAUGCACAGCCGAAGAGGGAAAGUAGAGUCUUUUUAUCUUUUUUAUUUUAUUUUGUGGAUAAGUUAAUUUUUUUCUCAAAACAAGCAUUAGGGUUCCCUAAGCCCCAAGGAGAUAAUUAGAGCUCUAGAUUAUACCCUAGAGAAACAACCUUAACAACCCUCCCUUCCCCUUGUUAAUAAAAUUAAGGUCCUGUUUGGUUUGCGAAAUAGACCCUUGGAUUGGACUAGCUAACACUAGGUAUAGCUAGUCCUUUGUUUGGUAACACUCUAUUCCUGAGAAUAAUCUAUUCUCAUGAGACUACUAAUCCCAUACACACAGGGUUAGCUAAGCCACUAAAAAAUGAGUGGCUUAGCUUCUUGUGGGAUUAAAUUAAUUGUGUAAAUUGUCACAAAAAACCCUACUUGUGGGAUUAAUUUUCGUUCUCUCUCUGAUU